rnacentral:rRNA from 1 species
GAUGAACGCUGGCGGCGUGCCUAAUACAUGCAAGUCGAGCGAACGGACGAGAAGCUUGCUUCUCUGAUGUUAGCGGCGGACGGGUGAGUAACACGUGGAUAACCUACCUAUAAGACUGGGAUAACUUCGGGAAACCGGAGCUAAUACCGGAUAAUAUUUUGAACCGCAUGGUUCAAAAGUGAAAGACGGUCUUGCUGUCACUUAUAGAUGGAUCCGCGCUGCAUUAGCUAGUUGGUAAGGUAACGGCUUACCAAGGCAACGAUGCAUAGCCGACCUGAGAGGGUGAUCGGCCACACUGGAACUGAGACACGGUCCAGACUCCUUCGGGAGGCAGCAGUAGGGAAUCUUCCGCAAUGGGCGAAAGCCUGACGGAGCAACGCCGCGUGAGUGAUGAAGGUCUUCGGAUCGUAAAACUCUGUUAUUAGGGAAGAACAUAUGUGUAAGUAACUGUGCACAUCUUGACGGUACCUAAUCAGAAAGCCACGGCUAACUACGUG